rnacentral:tRNA from 1 species
GCGUUGGUGGUGUAAUGGCGUAGAGCAUUCCCGCCCGGUCAGAGGGAGGUGCGGGUUCGAGUCCCGCCUGGCGCU